GCAGUCGAACGAGAUCUUCGGGUCUAGUGGCGCACGGGUGCGUAACGCGUGGGAAUCUGCCCUUUGGUUCGGAAUAACAGUUGGAAACGACAGCUAAUACCGGAUGAUGACGAAAGUCCAAAGAUUUAUCGCCAGAGGAUGAGCCCGCGUAGGAUUAGCUAGUUGGUGUGGUAAAGGCGCACCAAGGCGACGAUCCUUAGCUGGUCUGAGGGGAUGAUCAGCCACACUGGGACUGAGACACGGCCCAGACUCCUACGGGAGGCAGCAGUGGGGAAUAUUGGACAAUGGGCGAAAGCCUGAUCCAGCAAUGCCGCGUGAGUGAUGAAGGCCUUAGGGUUGUAAAGCUCUUUUACCCGGGAUGAUAAUGACAGUACCGGGAGAAUAAGCUCCGGCUAACUCCGUGCCAGCAGCCGCGGUAAUACGGAGGGAGCUAGCGUUGUUCGGAAUUACUGGGCGUAAAGCGCACGUAGGCGGCUUUGUAAGUUAGAGGUGAAAGCCUGGAGCUCAACUCCAGAACUGCCUUUAAGACUGCAUCGCUUGAAUCCAGGAGAGGUGAGUGGAAUUCCGAGUGUAGAGGUGAAAUUCGUAGAUAUUCGGAAGAACACCAGUGGCGAAGGCGGCUCACUGG
rnacentral:rRNA from 1 species